UACAGGGGGUGCAAACGUUGCUCGGAAUUAUUGGGCGUAAAGCGCGCGUAGGCGGCUACUUAAGUCGGAUGUGAAAGCCCUUGGCUCAACUGAGGAAGUGCACCCGAAACUGAGUGGCUAGAGUACGAAAGAGGGUCGCGGAAUUCCCGGUGUAGAGGUGAAAUUCGUAGAUAUCGGGAGGAACACCGGUGGCGAAGGCAGCUCGCUGGGACGUGACUGACGCUGAGACGCGAAAGCGUGGGGAGCAAACAGG
rnacentral:rRNA from 1 species